GAUGAACGCUGGCGGCGUGCCUAAUACAUGCAAGUCGAGCGAACAGAUGAGGAGCUUGCUCCUCUGACGUUAGCGGCGGACGGGUGAGUAACACGUGGAUAACCUACCUAUAAGACUGGGAUAACUUCGGGAAACCGGCGCUCAUACCGGAUAAUAUAUUGAACCGCAUGGUUCAAUAGUGAAAGACGGUUUUGCUGUCACUUAUAGAUGGAUCCGCGCCGCAUUAGCUAGUUGGUAAGGUAACGGCUUACCAAGGCAACGAUGCAUAGCCGACCUGAGAGGGUGAUCGGCCACACUGGAAAUAAGACACAGUGCAAAAUCCGAAGGGAGACAGCAGUAGGGAAUCUUCCGCAAUGGGCGGAAGCCGGACGGAGCAACGCCGCGUGAGUGAUGAGGGUCUUCGGAUCGUGAAACUCUAUUGUUAGGGAAGAACAAAUGUGUAAGUAACAGGGCACAUCUUGACGGUACCUAAUCAGAAAGCCACGGCUAACUACGUG
rnacentral:rRNA from 1 species